CAACUCAUUUAUUUCAUCAUACACCAAAUUUCAUCACAAUAUUUCUCUUUUCUUCACAAGAAAAAUAAAAACCUCAAGAAGUGAAACAAAAUGUGUAUAAGUUCAACAGAGUGGAGUAAUAAUUCAUCACGUCCUCUUUAUUUUUCUAUGCAGAAAAAACAAAGACCAAAGAUAUCUCGAGUUCAACUUCAUAGGCUUGCAAGGAAGAAAAGAAGUGAGGGAAAAGAAACUAAGGUGGAUAUGGAAAUGAGAAAUUUGAAGCUUUAUAUGGAAAAUAUGAGUAUUUUAGAGGAAAAUGAGAAAUUGAGAAAGAAAGCAAGUAUUUUACAUGAAGAAAAUAUUGCUUUGAUGUUUGAAUUUCAAAAGAAAUUUUGUAAGUUUGAUAGAGUCUCUACCAAAGAGACCCCCCAUCUACCCACUACUAAAUUGACAAAAUAACUGUUUUAUAAUAUUAAUAAAUUAUGAGAGGAGAAAAUGUGUGGAUGGAAAAUAAUAUAUUUAAUUUUGUUUGUGUACAUGUCUUGUUCAAGCUAUAUUGCUACUUGUGUGUUGUUAUUUUCAUAAAUUACUUCAUUUUACAUUGUCAUAA